GCGAAGUUCGGGCCAGCAUGCGGGGGAAUACAGAGGUGUCGGGGGUUAAUCGGAAUUACUGGGCGUAAAGCGUUCGUAGUCGGUUUCGUAAGUCGGGUGUGAAAGCCCCGGGCUCAACCUGGGAAUUGCAUUCGAGACUGCGGAGCUAGGGUGCGGAAGAGGGAAGCGGAAUUUCCGGUGUAGCGGUGAAAUGCGUAGAUAUCGGAAGGAACAUCAGUGGCGAAAGCGGCUUCCUGGUCCAGCACCGACGUUCAGGCACGAAAGCGUGGGGAGCAAACAGGAUUAGAUACCCCAGUAGUC
rnacentral:rRNA from 1 species